rnacentral:rRNA from 1 species
GAUGAACGCUGGCGGCGUGCCUAAUACAUGCAAGUCGAGCGAACAGACGAGGAGCUUGCUCCUCUGACGUUAGCGGCGGACGGGUGAGUAACACGUGGAUAACCUACCUAUAAGACUGGGAUAACUUCGGGAAACCGGAGCUAAUACCGGAUAAUAUAUUGAACCGCAUGGUUCAAUAGUGAAAGACGGUUUUGCUGUCACUUAUAGAUGGAUCCGCGCCGCAUUAGCUAGUUGGUAAGGUAACGGCUUACCAAGGCAACGAUGCGUAGCCGACCUGAGAGGGGGGUGGCCCAACACGGGACAGGAGCCCGGUCCAAGCCCCAGAGGGAGGGAGCAAUAGGGAAUUCUCCGGCAAGGGGCAAAGCCCGAACGGAGCCCCCCGGGGGGAGUAAUAAGGUUUUUAGGACCUAAAACCUUUUUUAGAGGGAAAAAAAAAAUUUUUAAGUACCUCGCCCCGUCUGACGGUUCCAUAAUCAAAAACCCCGGACAACCUCGGUC